GGGUGUCCGAACUUUCACAGACCUGGAGUCCCCAGCUAGCCGGGGCACGGUAGAUAAAGGACAUUGAUCCUUUCUCUUUAACUGCAUUUUCAGUUUUUGUAUUGUAAAAUAGAUACAACGUUGUAAAACUUUAUUGAAAGGUGAGGGAGAAAAACGUGUGAUCUCAUAAACUUUCAGAAGCUGUUAUUUCAUUUUUGGCACAGUGCUGCGCAUUCUGACUCUGUGAGGCAUGAUGUGGUGGGAAGAGUAAACUCUGAGACACGUUUAAAGGUGAUCGGUUCCAGGUGAAAAGUUCAAGAACAAAAGAGUGAGUCCAGCAAGAUGAAACUGCAUUGCUAAGCAGGUGCCACCUCCCUUCAGAUCCUUGAGGGUCAGGUCAUGGAAAGCUUCAGAAUGGUAAAGAUCAUGCUGGCUCCCAAGAGGAGAAUGGCUACAGGUAGAGCACUGGGGAGGCCACUGUUACAGUCCAAACAGUGGUAGCUUGGAGCAGAGUGGUAAGAGUAAAGAUGAUGAAAAAUGAAGAGAACCAAUAAGAAUUUUAAGAUUACAACUAACAGAAUAUGAUGGGAUCAUAUUUGGGAAGUAGGGGAGAGAACAAUUUCAAAGACAACUUUUGGAUAUCUGACUUGUACAACUGAUACAUGGUAGUAUAUAUAUAUAUUUUUAACAUAAGAUGCACAGGAAGUGAUCAGGUUUAGGUCACAUAUACAAGUAAGAUCUGGUUUAAACAUUUACCCAGAGCAAUUUGGGUAAUAUGCAAAUUUGGGUACUUAUCAUAUUUGGGUAAUAUGAUAAGUACUUCUGUACUACUAAAUAAGUAUUUUUAUAAAGUAAAUGAAUGAAAAGGAUAAAUUUAAUCAGGAUCAGAACAUGGCCCUUGAGAGAGAUUCUGCUGUGUGCUUUACACUAUACAGUUUAAUUGCUACAGGCAAAUCUGUUUGCUACAAACAAACAGGACCAGAAAUAUGCGCUGGAGACAUUUCACAUCCAACAGUCAAAAUGUUUCUUUGGACAAGAUAAUAUUCAAUAGAAAGGAUGUUAGAUAUAUAGUAAAAUACAAAGAGAAAAAAGCAGUUAAAAUGAAGCAAAAACAUUUAUUUCCAGUGUAUUUGUAUCAUGUUCUAGUACUUUUUUUUUUAUUUUGCACCAUUUUAAAUUCCACUUCAGGUUGACCUCAAAUACUUUUCUCCCCUUCUUCUCAUGAGCCAUUUAAUAAUAGUUUGUUAUGCUGUAAUCAGUUUCCAAUUCAUGACCUUCUCACUAGCUUAAGAACUAAUGCAGAAAGACAUUGCUUCAGUGCAAGAGGAGAGUAACUGCCCUUCAAAAGACUCAUUUCUGGAAAUCCUGUGUUGCCAUUAAGAUGUCAUUAUGACUUGGACAGAAGUUUUUUUUUCCAGUAGCAACAGGAAACUACUGCACGUACUUCAGCUGUGGACAGUGGUUAUUCUCUGGGGAGCUGAGAACGAAGAUUGGGGUCUAAGAGAGCUUUUACUCUCCAUUCUUCUGUAAUAUGUGAACGUUUUGUUUUAUUACAGAUUUAUGAAGUAACUUUAAUCAAAAUAGCCCUUAAAAGAUGAACUAGGAGUUCCCUGGUGGCCUAGUGAGUUAAAGAUCUGGUGUGGUCACUGCUGUGGCUUGAGUCAUUGCUGUGUCGUGGUUUUGAUCCCUGGCCUAAGAACUUUUUGCAUGCUAUGGGUGCAGCCAAAAAAAAAGAGAGAGAGAGAUAAACUAUGUAAUAUUAAGUGA
rnacentral:lncRNA from 1 species